rnacentral:tRNA from 1 species
GGUGGUAUAGCUCAGUCGGUUAGAGCGGCGGAUUCAUAAGCCGCAGGUCAGUGGUUCAAAUCCACUUACCACUA